AGAGUUCGAUCAUGGCUCAGGAUGAACGCUGGCGGCGUGCUUAACACAUGCAAGUCGAACGGAGAGCUAAUGACAGAGGAUUCGUCCAAUGGAAUUAGUUUCUUAGUGGCGGACGGGUGAGUAACGCGUGAGGAACCUGCCUUGGAGUGGGGAAUAACAGUUGGAAACAGCUGCUAAUACCGCAUAAUGCAGUUGAGUCGCAUGGCUCUGACUGCCAAAGAUUUAUCGCUCUGAGAUGGCCUCGCGUCUGAUUAGCUAGUUGGCGGGGUAACGGCCCACCAAGGCGACGAUCAGUAGCCGGACUGAGAGGUUGGCCGGCCACAUUGGGACUGAGACACGGCCCAG
rnacentral:rRNA from 1 species